GGAGAGAUGGCCGAGUCGGCUGAAGGCACUCGCCUGCUAAGCGAGUGAAGGAGUCAAAUCUUUCCGUGGGUUCGAAUCCCACUCUCUCCGCCA
rnacentral:tRNA from 1 species